rnacentral:tRNA from 1 species
GGCCCCUUGGUCAAGCGGUUAAGACACCGCCCUCUCACGGCGGUAACAGGGGUUCGAGUCCCCUAGGGGUCACCA